rnacentral:tRNA from 1 species
ACUAGGGUGGCAGAGUACGGUAAUUGCGAAAGGCCUAAGCCCUUUUUCUCAGGGGUUCAAAUCCUCUCCCCAGUU